GACGAACGCUGGCGGCGUGCUUAACACAUGCAAGUCGAACGGGGGUAUCGAAGAAGCUUGCUUUAGAGAUACUUUAGUGGCGGACGGGUGAGUAACGCGUGAGGAGCUGUCCUAUGCAGGGGGACAACAGUUGGAAACGACUGCUAAUACCCCAUAAGCCGAGAGGUAAAAGGAUUUAUCCGGCAGAGGAGGUACUCGCGUCCUAUCAGCUAGUAGGUGAGGUAACGGCUCACCUAGGCGAAGACGGGUAGCCGGCCUGAGAGGGCGAACGGACACACUGGAACUGAGAUACGGUCCAGACUCCUACGGGAGGCAGCAGUGGGGCAUAUUGGGCAAUGGGGGGAACCCUGACCCAGCGACGCCGCGUGGGUGAAGAAAUCCUUCGGGAUGUAAAGCCCUGUUGUAUGGGAAGAGCGGAAGACGGUACCAUACGAGGAAGCCCCGGCAAACUACGUGCCAGCAGCCGCAGUAA
rnacentral:rRNA from 1 species